AAGGAUUUAGUUAAACUAUAACAUUAGAAUGUCAAUCUGAAAUUACUAAAAAUCUAGUAUACCUUG
rnacentral:tRNA from 2 species